UACGUAGGGCGCAAGCGUUAUCCGGAAUUAUUGGGCGUAAAGAGCUCGUAGGCGGUUUGUCGCGUCUGCCGUGAAAGUCCGGGGCUCAACUCCGGAUCUGCGGUGGGUACGGGCAGACUAGAGUGAUGUAGGGGGAGACUGGAAUUCCUGGUGUAGCGGUGAAAUGCGCAGAUAUCAGGAGGAACACCGAUGGCGAAGGCAGGUCUCUGGGCAUUAACUGACGCUGAGGAGCGAAAGCAUGGGGAGCGAACAGA
rnacentral:rRNA from 1 species